GGACCCGCACAAGCGGUGGAUGAUGUGGUUUAAUUCGAUGCAACGCGAAAAACCUUACCUACCCUUGACAUGCCAGGAAUCCUGAAGAGAUUUGGGAGUGCUCGAAAGAGAACCUGGACACAGGUGCUGCAUGGCCGUCGUCAGCUCGUGUCGUGAGAUGUUGGGUUAAGUCCCGCAACGAGCGCAACCCUUGUCAUUAGUUGCUACGAAAGGGCACUCUAAUGAGACUGCCGGUGACAAACCGGAGGAAGGUGGGGAUGACGUCAGGUCAUCAUGGCCCUUAUGGGUAGGGCUACACACGUCAUACAAUGGCCGGGACAGAGGGCUGCCAACCCGCGAGGGGGAGCUAAUCCCAGAAACCCGGUCGUAGUCCGGAUCGCAGUCUGCAACUCGACUGCGUGAAGUCGGAAUCGCUAGUAAUCGCGGAUCAGCUUGCCGCGGUGAAUACGUUCCCGGGUCUU
rnacentral:rRNA from 1 species